rnacentral:rRNA from 1 species
AUUGAACGCUGGCGGCAGGCCUAACACAUGCAAGUCGAGCGGAUGAAGGGAGCUUGCUCCUGGAUUCAGCGGCGGACGGGUGAGUAAUGCCUAGGAAUCUGCCUGGUAGUGGGGGAUAACGUCCGGAAACGGGCGCUAAUACCGCAUACGUCCUGAGGGAGAAAGUGGGGGAUCUUCGGACCUCACGCUAUCAGAUGAGCCUAGGUCGGAUUAGCUAGUUGGUGGGGUAAAGGCCUACCAAGGCGACGAUCCGUAACUGGUCUGAGAGGAUGAUCAGUCACACUGGAACUGAGACACGGUCCAGACUCCUACGGGAGGCAGCAGUGGGGAAUGUUGGUCAGUGGGCGAAAGCCUGAUCCAGCCAUGCCGCGUGUGUGAAGAAGGUCUUCGGAUUGUAAAGCACUUUAAGUUGGGAGGAAGGGCAGUAAGUUAAUACCUUGCUGUUUUGACGGUACCAACAGAAUAAGCACCGGCUAACUUCGUG